rnacentral:tRNA from 1 species
UGGGUUCAGCCAAGCUUGGCAGCAUGUUUAUUAAAACAUGCGGUGCUGGUGCAAAUCCAGCCAACCCAGCCA